rfam:Chlamydomonas reinhardtii strain CC-503 cw92 mt+ CHLREscaffold_2 genomic scaffold, whole genome shotgun sequence.
GAACUCAUGGUGUAGCGGUUAUCACGUCAGAUUUACACUCUGAAGGUCUCCGGUUCAAUCCCGGAUGAGUUCA